GAUGAAGAACGUAGCGAAAUGCGAUAAGUAAUGUGAAUUGCAGAAUUCAGUGAAUCAUCGAGUCUUUGAACGCACAUUGCGCCCCUUGGUAUCCCGAGGGGCAUGCCUGUUCGAGCGUCAUUUCACCACUCAAGCCUGGCUUGGUGUUGGGCGACGUCCCCUUUGGGGACGCGCCUCGAAACGCUCGGCGGCGUGGCACCGGCUUUAAGCGUAGCAGAAUCUUUCGCUUUGGAAGUCGGGGCCCCGUCUGCCGGAAGACCUACUCGCAAGGUUGACCUCGGAUCAGGCAGGGAUACCCGCUGAACUUAAGCAUAUCAAUAAGCGGAGGA
rnacentral:misc_RNA from 1 species